CUACUACCAAAAGAUAUCCCAGCAACUCGAAAAGGACCUUUAGCUGAAACACUGCUAAAAUAAGUUUCAAGAUGUUUAGCUUAAACAGUAAGUCCAAGUAGUAACACCUAGGUCUUCAAACAAUUACUAAUUUCAAACACUUCCACUACCUUUCUUGCUUGAGAAAAUUCUAAGUAAAAAGUUAUGAAUAAUUUGAUGUGAGCUCCAACUUAAGAAGAUUAAGAGGAAGAGUCCAGGAAAUACCAAUUACGUAAGAAAAUUGUUCUCAAUUCAAAAUUCAUUUAACGACUGAAUAUUUAUAGCAGCAGCACACAGAGUGUCCAAUAUCCAAAUAGCAUUCAUGUCCCUUAAUACCUAAUAUCUAUACUAACAUAACACUCCACAUCUUCAAGACAUCAUAUGGGAUUAAACAACGUAGAUGAAAAAACAGUGUUUAUACAUAUUGAAAACCAAAUCAAAUACACAAAUCAACUAGCUCAAAAGGUAAAAAUGCAUUGUUUAAACCCCUGCUCAGUUACAAAUCUCAACUUGAAUAAGCAAAAUUCAUGUUCAUCCAUUCCCAUACAUUAGGAGGUGAAGUAUAUACCUCGAUUUUAAAACAAACAUAAAUUGAUGGUCUAGCAGCAGAGCAACAAAGUCAGCUCAGAAACAACAUGGAAAAUCAGUUUUGAACCAAAUUUAAAUCAGUAGAAAUGGUAAGCGAGACCCAGUAAUCAGAAACACUACCCAAAACAUGAACCAAACUCUCGAAGUUCAACCAAAAUCAGAGCAUUUCAAUCAGAGAGAGUAGGAAAAAUAUUUCAGUAAUUGAAAAACUUCAGAAAUCAAAAGAGAAUGCAACGAAAUAGUAUUUUCGUCUGAUUUUUAACCAUUUUAUGAUUUUUCUAAAUUAUUAGCUCUCCAAGUCUUGCCUUGAAAGGCAAGAAUGAGAUGCCUUUAUAGGCAAGGCCAUAGGGCAACCCUCAGAUUUUAUUUCUUUCAAUUGUACCCUUUUUCAAUUUUUAUUUUUGCUACUUAGCCCCCCAUGUAGUGCCUUGUUAACCAAGCUAAAAUUUGAAAUUUAAAUGCAGACCCCUACUAGAAACUUUCCUUUUUUGUUACUCUGAGAUUUCCCAACCUAGAUUGCCCAAAUUAACCUUUUAACCUCUAAAAAUUACCCUAAAAACUAUCGUGGGUCAAAUUGCCCAGACUAAUGGAUCUGCAUAACCAAACUCAAUCCCUACCCCAUUCUCCUUUUGGCCUUAUGAAUUUCAGAAACCCAAUCUAGCCCUAGCCAUUAACAAAAGUUUGACGGGCUAAUCAAAAAUUUUCCAAAAAGAACCAAAAAACUUUAUAGAUGAAGCAAGAACAAAAGAAAAUACGAAAUAAAAUUAUUAAACCAAAUAAGUUAAAUUUGUUAUUAACUGAUCAUGUAGAAGAUGACCACAUAGCAAAGAAAAGAGAAACAAAAUAGAAAAAGUGAUAAAAACAUCUUAAUCAAAAAGGAAAUAAAAUUGCAAGAAUAAUGAUAAGAUAUUGGACAAUACCUAAAGAGACCGGACGGGCUUAAACUUGAAUUAAUUCUUCAAACUUUCAAAUCUUGAUUCACUCUGAGGUUAAGCAUGUGCUUUCUCACAAAAACCCUUGAACAACCACAAAAUGAACCAAAAAUCUUGACGAACACUUCAAUUGGAAAGCUUCGGAUUUUUAAGGUCAGACUAGAUUUAAGAUUCGAGGAUUUUCGAGGUUAUUCGAGGGAAACCCACAUGGUAUUUGGGAUGGGGAGGCCUGGUGCUCACCUGGUGUUAUUUUGGGGUUGAACGGAAGCGGUGCCGCCACCAGAGAAAUUGUGGCGGCACUAGGGUUUACGAUUUAAAAUUAAAUUUGAAGGAUUUGGAAGGGUUUCGGGGUAAGCUGGUUAUAGAAUGGGUAUGAGGAGGUUGAGGUGGGCUUGUUGUGUAACUUUUGUGGCAAUUGGGCACUCGUCGCCGUCGUGAGGCGAUUUUUGGCGGCUGUGGAUGGUGGCACUACAUAGGGUAGUCUAGAGACGAGAUUGAGGGGGUAGGGGGUGUUUGGACAUUUUUAUACUUCCCAUGGGAUCAGUUCUCUACUGUUGAUCUGAUCGAGAUCGAACGGCUCAGAACCAAG
rnacentral:lncRNA from 1 species